rnacentral:rRNA from 1 species
GACAGAGGGCCCAAGCGUUAGGCGGAAUCACUGGGCUUAAAGCGUGUGUAGGCGGACUUCUAAGUACCUUGUGAAAUCCCACGGCUCAACCGUGGAACUGCUUGGUAUACUGGUUGUCUUGGGCCAUCUAGGGGCUAGCGGAACAAACGGUGGAGCGGUGAAAUGCGUAGAUAUCGGGAGGAACACCAGUGGCGAAGGCGGUUACCUGGAGCUUUGCUGACGCUGAUGCGCGAAAGCGUGGGGAGCGAUCCGG